UUAUUGAUGCGUCCAAAUAUGGAAAUGUUUCCCGGUUCAUCAAUCAUAGCUGCUCGCCAAAUCUUGUGAAUCAUCAAGUUCUUGUGGACAGCAUGGAUUGUCACCGAGCUCACAUUGGUCUCUAUGCCAGUCAAGAUAUAUCUGUAGGUGAAGAGCUGACUUUUGACUAUCGAUAUGAACU